rnacentral:rRNA from 1 species
UGGGGAAUAUUGCGCAAUGGGCGAAAGCCUGACGCAGCCAUGCCGCGUGUGUGAAGAAGGCCUUCGGGUUGUAAAGCACUUUCACUGGGGAAGCAAAGCUGGUGGUUAAUAACCAUUAGCCGUGACAUUACCUAGAGAAGAAGCACCGGCUAACUCCGUGCCAGCAGCCGCGGUAAUACGGAGGGUCCGAGCGUUUAUCGCAAUUACUGGGCGUAAAGCGCGCGUAGGCGGUUUGUUAAGUCGGAUGUGAAAGCCCCGGGCUCAACCUGGGAACUGCACCCGAUACUGGCCGACUGGAGUGCGAGAGAGGGAGGUAGAAUUCCACGUGUAGCGGUGAAAUGUGUAGAUAUGUGGAGGAAUACUGGUGGCGAAGGCGGCCUCCUGGCUCGACACUGACGCUGAGGUGCGAAAGCGUGGGGAGCAAACAGGAUUAGAUACCCGUGUAGUCC